rnacentral:rRNA from 1 species
CAGUCGCCACGGGAAUACCAGCACCUCGAGUGGUCAGGAGGUUUAUUGGGCCUAAAGCAUCCGUAGCCGGUUGCAUAAGUUUUCGGUUAAAUCUAUGCGCUUAACGUAUAGGCCGCCGAAAAUACUGUGCAGCUAGGGAGUGGGAGAGGUACACGGUACUCGAUAGGAAGGGGUAAAAUCCUUUGAUCUAUUGAUGACCACCUGUGGCGAAGGCGGUGUACCAGAACACGUUCGACGGUGAGGGAUGAAAGCUGGGGGAGCAAACCGGAUUAGAUACCCGAGUAGUCCCUGUCUCUUAUAC